GUGAAUCAUCGAAUCUUUGAACGCAAAUUGCGCUUGCUGGCAUCCCGGGGAGUAUGCCUGUUGGAGGGUCAGUAUUAAUCUCAAACCGGGUUAGUUACAAAGUGUGACGUUUCCGGAGUUUGGGCUAUCUUAACAUUUUUGGUUAAGAGGCUUAAAAUCGACCUUUUUUUCGCAUUUGUAAACGGACAUAAAUUUUUUUUAUUCGUCUAUUCUUAAUGCCAAAAUCUUACUAGCGGCGAUCACAUCGUGUGGCUUCGUAGCCAUACAAUUUUA
rnacentral:misc_RNA from 1 species